GACGAACGCUGGCGGCGUGCUUAACACAUGCAAGUCGAACGGAAAGGCCCCUUUGGGGGUACUCGAGUGGCGAACGGGGGAGUAACACGUGAGUAACCUGCCCUUGACUUCGGGAUAACUUCAGGAAACUGGGGCUAAUACCGGAUAGGAAUCCUUGCUGCAUGGUGGGGGUUGGAAAGCUUCGGCGGUUUUGGAUGGACUCGCGGCUUAUCAGCUUGUUGGUGGGGUAGUGGCUUACCAAGGCUUUGACGGGUAGCCGGCCUGAGAGGGCGACCGGCCACAUUGGGACUGAGAUACGGCCCAGACUCCUACGGGGGGCAGCAGUGGGGAAUAUUGCACAAUGGGCGGAAGCCUGAUGCAGCAACGCCGCGGGCGGGAUGGCGGCCUUCGGGUUGUAAACCGCUUUCAGCAGGGGCGAAGCUUGUGGUGACGGUACCUGCAGAAGAAGCACCGGCUAACUACGUG
rnacentral:rRNA from 1 species